rnacentral:rRNA from 1 species
UACGGAGGAUGCGAGCGUUAUCCGGAUUUAUUGGGUUUAAAGGGUGCGCAGGCGGAUUUUUAAGUCAGCGGUCAAAUCGUGGGGCUCAACCCCAUCCAGCCGUUGAAACUGGGGAUCUAGAGUGUGCGAGAGGUAUGCGGAAUGCGUGGUGUAGCGGUGAAAUGCAUAGAUAUCUGGAGGAACAUCAGUGGCGAAGGCGGCCACCUGGACCGGUAUUGACGCUGAGGCGCGAAAGCGUGGGGAGCAAACAGG